rnacentral:rRNA from 1 species
GAUGAACGCUGGCGGCGUGCCUAAUACAUGCAAGUCGAGCGAACGGACGAGAAGCUUGCUUCUCUGAUGUUAGCGGCGGACGGGUGAGUAACACGUGGAUAACCUACCUAUAAGACUGGGAUAACUUCGGGAAACCGGAGCUACUACUGGAUAAUAUUUUGAACCGCAUGGUUCAAAAGUGAAAGACGGUCUUGCUGUCACUUAUAGCUGGAUCCGCGCUGCAUUAGCUAGUUGGUAAGGUAACGGCUUACCAAGGCUACGAUGCAUAGCCGACCUGAGAGGGUGAUCGGCCACACUGGAACUGAGACACGGUCCAGACUCCUACGGGAGGCAGCAGUAGGGAAUCUUCCACAAUGGGCGAAAGCCUGACGGAGCAACGCCGCGUGAGUGAUGAAGGUCUUCGGAUCGUAAAACUCUGUUAUUAGGGAAGAACAUAUGUGUAAGUAACUGUGCACAUCUUGACGGUACCUAAUCAGAAAGCCACGGCUAACUACGUG